GUGACUAGGAACCACUGCUUAUGAAACUGAUUUUAUGAUUAUGUUUUAGGAAACUUAGUAAAGGAUAAUCAUGGCUGUAAAACAGAAGAUAAACAUCUUUAAUAAUUUGUCAGCAUGAGGAAGUGCUGGUUGGAUGAUCUUGGGAAUGGCUGCCCAGUAUUAGCCUUCACCCUGCCAAUGAGCACACACAGGAGAUAAAAACCACCAACCCAGAAAAACACCAACUGUCAGAAGAGACUGACACAUGGCAACCUCGGUUAAUUCAGGCACAGAAAUGCCUUCACUGAAGCACUGGGGUCUCCUUUCUCCCUCCUCUAAACCAUUUUCUCUUGGCUUGGAAUCAUCUUUAUGCAGUCUAUCUGAGUAUUUAGAAUAUUUCCAUUUUUGUAAGUGUUCAAACUUCCAUCUUCAUCAUUAAAACCCAUAUAUAAUAGCCCUUUCCAUUUGUAUGAGUGUGCUCAACCAGCUCUUUUCCAAUAAAAGCCAUGUGCACUUUUCCUCACUCUGUAUUUCCUAAUUCCCUCAAUAAGCUCUAACAGAAUUACACCUCUAUGUGAUCUCCCAAAUGCCCAUUCCCACUAAUUCACUGGAAGGUUGCUGCUAGCUCACACUAUUUCAAGGAUCCAGGUAAUUGAUUGAUGCUGACUGGUUUUACUCCAUCUUUGCAGAAGAUUGAACAAAAAGAAAUGAGAUUAAAUCACAUCUGAGAGGAAAUUCUAAGACAGAAGGGGAAAGCUUCUCGAGUGUAUAAAUCAGAUGUUACCAUGGUUUCUAUUAAGGCUGAUAGGCUGAUAGAGAUGAUCAUGUAACCCAGCUGAUCAGAUAUAAGCAGAGAUGACUGGGAGAAGCUUCUGGGAAGUGUUUCAGCCUGCAAGACAAUUACACAUCCUUGCUGUUUAUCAUGACUCCUGCAAGCAUAGCCCAUCUCAUGGAGCCCACUUGCCAAGAAAUGUCAGCAGAAAUGACAGCGCACUCACUUAAAUAAGCUCCUGCUUAUUUAAGAGCCCUGUUCUUGUUUUUUUUUAAUCUCUGCUUCCUGAACAGUAUGUCUUAGAUGGUAUGUUACCUUCAGCCUGGAUUCCAACAUGAAGACUCAUGGAAAAGAGCCACAUGGAAUGGAGCCCCAGCCACAGGUACAACUGCAGGCCAUGGCAGAAGGAGGAGAGCUCCAACUGUCCACUGAGGACACACAAUGAGGUAAGUCUUGGCUGUUUUUUGUCCCUGAGAUUUAGGGGUUGCUUUUUCUCAUAGAUUAGAUGAUCAGCAUAACCAAUCAGCAUGUGCCCAUUCCAAGGAUGAAGAAACUAAGUCUCUGUGUGCUAGAAGAAAAGAAAUUACUAUUUACAGAGCAUUUGCUCUAAGCCGUCUACCAUUCUAGAAGCUGUCAUGAAAUCACCCUACCCCCAACUUGAUGCAGGAAAUAACUAUUUGCAUCUCAAAUACAAAAUGAGAGAGGAUGGCUCUGCGGCCUCCAAGUAAUUUUCCAGAGAUGGCAUUUUAUUUUAUACGAGUUCUACACCAUGACCUUUCACAAAAAUCUAGAUUAAUCCCUAUAAUUUUUAAUAACAUGACUGGUGUCCCAUAAAUUAUUAGUGCCAUUUUCAGAGAAGAUUGUCUUCUAGUUCAUUAAUGCCUGAAACUUUUCAUUUCAGAGAAAAAAGAACCCUUUGUAAUUUUCUAUUUUUACAUACUUGACAUUGCCUAGCCAUCAAAACAUCUUGGAAAUUUUCCAUUUUUGUUAACAAUCUUCAAUUAAAAUUUGGCUUCCUCCUACAUUGUCAUGUUUUUGAUUAAGAUGCCUAUAAUUGUAAUUUAUUAACAUACCUUUUCUAAAAGUUUAUCAGUGAUAACAGAGAUAUUCUCACAGGUUCACAGGAUUUCAACUCACUGGAGUCUAAUAUAAUUAAAGAUCAAUACUGUUGCUACCGAUGACACACAGGCAUUAUUCUGGGAAAGGAAGUGCAUGUGGAGUUUGAUAAAUGGAUUUCACAUAAAGGAAGAGCAGAAACCAAUCUAUACAGGGUCUAGGGGAGACAUUUGAGUUCAAGUUCUCCCAAAGAGAAGGGCCACAGUGAAACACUGCACAAAAAGAGUGAGGAUACACUGGACACAGACCAGCUUUGCAAGCACUGAAGCCCUGAUAUGAAUCCUCUCAACAGAUGAAAGGAUUAAGCUGACCUUUCCAGAGGAGCUGUCUGCAAAAGCUAAGGAAAAUCUUCCCAGGAGAAAAAUAACAAUGCCCAGAGCCUCAGAUUUCCUCUAAAAUCCAUCAUAAGCAAUUCCUGGCACAAAAAAAAAAAAAAAAAAACCAUAAAGGAGGACAAGAUGUAUCUGAAAAAAGGAAAAAAAUAAUGGAAACAAAUUCACAAGAGAUACAAAAAUAUUGAAACAUCUAAAACAUAAAAGAAAACCAUUGUUAAGUUCAGUCAUGAAAAGGUAGAAGAUCUCCGCAGAGAACUGGAAUGUAGAUAAUAAAUGAAAAGCCUAUAACUGAAAGAUAAAACAUCAUGAACUGAGUGUACAAUUGGUAGACUUACCAGGAGGGACACACAACUGAGGGGACAAUUAGUGAAUCGGAACAUCACAAGAAAGUACACAGGCUGAAAUGUAGUGAACCAAAAUGAUUUUUUAAAAAUACAGAAAAGCACACCCAAGACACAUGGGAUAUGAUGAAAUGACACAAGAAGAGCAGGAAAUAAAGCAGAAGCAAUAUUUGAAGAAAUUAAAGCAAAAGCUUUCCCAACAAUGAUAAAAAAAUACCAAUCAGUGCUACAAGCUCCAAGACAAAAAAAAAAAAAAAAAAGAUAA